GAUUUCAAUAACAUCAGCAGCCUCUUACGACUGGCGCACGGCUCAGGUUGUGCUGAAGAGAUGGUCCCCCGUGGCAGCUUCCAGACUACGUGGAGCCGAGGUAACAUCGCAAGCCAGACAGCUGUCGGAUUCACCAUUUCACCUGGGGGCAACAGGAAUUUCCAAGUUGACUCCAGAUGUGAGAUGUUGUCCAGCUCUUCCUUCCAAGUCGGAAUCCAAGUAUUUCAAUAUGGCAUAGCCCAGAUGUGAUGUUACCAAUAUAAAUCGUAUAUAUUUACCUAGCUUAUUACGUAUAAAAAAGAAGUUCUUACAACUUGAUACUGUCAAAAUAUGUAACAGCCCAUUCAACCUGUUCCUAGAAAUGCCAUGGAUACAUGUAUAAAUUCUUGUGCAGUGAAUAUAAAGUGAUUCACUGUAGAACACUUAAUGACCUUUCAACUAUAAGUAUUCCCUGGAGGGGUUGAAGUGGGCACUGAUAAUAACAGAUUAGACCUCUCAUAUACCGUGCCAUAAAAACAGAGUUAGUGGGCGCCACUAGUCCGCACUAAAGCCAUGCCGAAUAACAUGAGUAAAAUCAGGCACACAACCUUUACGUAUGUCUCCAUUACUCUACAUAUUACCAGCCCACAAACAGUUAACACAUAACGAUUAUUAUGUUGAACGGAGAUGUGGUUUUCUGGCAGGUGCUCAAGAUUUUUCCGCGAAGAGCUUUUUAUAAUGGUUGUAUUAUUUUGGAUUACGUCUCAAGCUCCUUUGUGGAAAGGUUAUGAUGAUUACCUUAGCAAUCUGCAUAGGGCUUACUAAUAAUGCCAUCCGCAUGGGCAGAUAGAAGUUAAUACUAUAAUAUGAAGGGUGUAGACAUUCCACAUUGAUAUUACAUAGAUGUCUACACAAUGUCUGCUUUCAACUGAAGUAAUAUAUUGUACCUUAUAAUAUGUAUAGCACCAUUCCCAUACAAAAGACAACUACAAAUGUAUUUCUGUUGCUUCUUUGGUACAUAUUUCUACAUGAUGUAAGCAUAGGAAACUUUAAAAUUUAGUAAAAAAAUUU